rnacentral:rRNA from 1 species
AGUCACUGACAUUAGAUACCCCUGUAGUCCAGGGUGUAAACGCUGCAGACUUGGUGUUGGAGGCCCUUUGGGGGCAUUCAGUGCCGGAGAGAAGUUGUUAAGUCUGCUACUUGGGGAGUACGUCCGACAAGGAUGAAACUUAAAGGAAUUGGCGGGGGAGCACCGCACGGGAGGAGCGUGCGGUUUAAUUGGAUUCAACACCGUAAACUCACCAGGGAAGACUGUUACCAUGAAGGCCGAGAUGAAGACUCUGCUAGAUUUUCAG